rnacentral:rRNA from 1 species
GCUGACGAGUGGCGGACGGGUGAGUAAUGUCUGGGAAACUGCCUGAUGGAGGGGGAUAACUACUGGAAACGGUGGCUAAUACCGCAUAACGUCGCAAGACCAAAGAGGGGGACCUUCGGGCCUCUUGCCAUCAGAUGUGCCCAGAUGGGAUUAGCUUGUUGGUGAGGUAACGGCUCACCAAGGCGACGAUCCCUAGCUGGUCUGAGAGGAUGACCAGCCACACUGGAACUGAGACACGGUCCAGACUCCUACGGGAGGCAGCAGUGGGGAAUAUUGCACAAUGGGCGCAAGCCUGAUGCAGCCAUGCCGCGUGUAUGAAGAAGGCCUUCGGGUUGUAAAGUACUUUCAGCGGGGAGGAAGGUGUUGUGGUUAAUAACCGCAGCAAUUGACGUUACCCGCAGAA